UGAACGAAAAGGCAAACCAUUCGAAAGGAUGGGACGCAAAGCUUAGAGUCUAAGGUAUCAAAAGAUACUAUGACAGUCAGUUACCGAA
rnacentral:ncRNA from 1 species